GAGGGAGAGAGGUUGCUGUGUAAUAUAUUACCUCACCACAGCGUCAGAGAUUGUUCGAUUUGUGUAGCGCCUAGGCACUCAGUGACUAAGUUCCGCUUUUGCUUCGUUGACGAUCUAACUUCGUUGGGUUGACUCAACACGGAGUACGAAACUCGGCUAAGAUUUUGAUUCUGUGAUAUUCGUCAUUUUUGGAUAUUGCCACCCAAGAGCGAUUAGCCAUAUCCUUCAAGCAAGAUGGAAAGUUCUGAUCAGAAUAAUGACAAUCGACAGUCUACAUCAGCUGACAAUGAAGAGCAGGGAUGCCAAAGGCAAAAGAUGAGAUAUUCUGGGAAAUACAGCUCUCAAUUGAUCCACAAAAGUUUAAGACUUCAUGCUGCGGCUUCCAUGAAAAGCAAAAAGCCCCCAAAGAAGCUGAUUUUACUGAGAAUUUAAAUCUCAGCUGAAAGUCAAAUGCAUAUAUGUAUACUUGGAAAAUAAUAAAAGUCAUGGAUGAGGAAGAUGAAGAGGAUGAGCAGGAUGGAAGCGAUAGAGUCAUCGUUUCAUUGUCAGUGUGUUGAUGAUUGUCAUCACGAGAAAGUGGAGAUUGGAAAAUUGGAAUGGUACAGAAUAGUGAUGGUGCUCUUUUCAAAGAACACUCCGGCGACUACGAGCAUCAUUUCAUAAUCGCAAAAUAAAUAAAUAAAUAAGAUAAAAUUUAAACUAUUUCUAAAAAUGUUUUAGCAGUUCCUAAAAUUUGUUGCCCAUUUCAUUUGUCACCGAGAAAUCGAAUACCAUUUCUAAUAUGAAAUUAAAUUACAGUUUUCUUACCUGGACGUUGUGAAAAAGUGCAACAAAAUGUCUAAUCGAAGGUGAUUGAAAAUUCAUCCUAUUAGCCAAUUCAUGUUUAAUAGAAACCAUAUCAAUUGAGCAAAGAGUGAUCUGUACCAUGAUAACAAUUUUAACAAGACUUCAGAUUUGGUAAGUGUUCAUGUCAAGCUGUGACUAAAUGUUUCGUGAUAUUUUUUUGGUUUGGGUUUAAUAAAUGUCUGCUUUCUGUAACAAGUGAUAAUAUUUUACUUAUGAACUUAUCCAUAUCAUUUACUUAAUGUAAACUUGAUGUUGUUAAGAAAAAUUUCGUUGGUUUGCAGCUAAAUAUAAAAUUAAUGUUAUUGUCGUGUGUCAAUGUUGUAAUAAAAUUUCUUCUAAAAAUUAAUUUGCUAUUGUGAGUGUGAAACAAAUGUAUUUUAUUUGUUAAGUUUUUGGUGUAUUUAAAGAGUUUGUGAAUCGUGUGAAUAUUUCAUAUUGUUGUGUAAUCUGGGAUGAAGACAUUUCUCUGAAAUUCUAAUAAAUUCUUUUCCACUGGC